AAAAAGGGUGCUCGCUACUACUCUCAAUAGCGCGUCGAAGUGCUUGGAUUUCCUGGUGCUUCGGUGGGGUAUGGCUAUCAAGACAUAUCCAGCACAUAAUUUUUGUGAACAAGGGGCUGUUGGCUGCUAUUUUCGCGCGGACGCUCCU